UACGUAGGGUCCGAGCGUUGUCCGGAAUUAUUGGGCGUAAAGGGCUCGUAGGCGGUCCGUCACGUCGGGAGUGAAAACUCAGGGCUCAACCCUGAGCGUGCUUCCGAUACGGGCGGACUAGAGGUAUGCAGGGGAGAACGGAAUUCCUGGUGUAGCGGUGAAAUGCGCAGAUAUCAGGAGGAACACCGGUGGCGAAGGCGGGUCUCUGGGCCGUAACUGACGCUGAGGAGCGAAAGCAUGGGGAGCGAACAGG
rnacentral:rRNA from 1 species